ensembl:lncRNA
GGUUACUUACAGGAGGAACAUGCCUGUAUCAAACCCUGUUCAUGACAUCAUCCUCUAGGAAGUAGCAUCGUUUUGGAGGGAAAACAACAGCAGAAACAAUAGUCAAAAUAUCGUAGCAAUAACGAUUUUUCAGUUGGUGAGUUGAAGGAGCGAGAAAGAUGGCUUUUCGAAGACAAUUCUUCAUUUUUAUCUCAUAUGGAGAGCAGAUGGCAGGCCUGCAUCAGUGCAGGAGGCUUUCUGGGAUGACAGCCAUGAGAUUCCCCCUCAGGUGCCAUUGGAGCCCUCAUGAGCCGGGAGUGUGAUGGUUGGGACAUGGCACCUCCUCGUGAAAGAAUGGCUCUCUGUUCGCCUCCCUUUCUCACUUCGUAAUGUCUACUUCUUUGUGUGUGGGUAUGAAAACACAUCCUUGAAUUUGAGUUUAAGGGGACAUCCUAAAGACUUCUUCACUGCAGUCAAACCUCUCUUCUUGAAGUUCUUGAUGAUCCAGUAA